CAGAUUCCUACGGGAGGCAGCAGUAGGAAUCUUCCGCAAUGGACGAAAGUCUGACGGAGCAACGCCGCGUGAGUGAUGAAGGUUUUCGGAUCGUAAAGCUCUGUUGUUAGGGAAGAACAAGUGCGAGAGUAACUGCUCGCACCUUGACGGUACCUAACCAGAAAGCCACGGCUAACUACGUGCCAGCAGCCGCGGUAAUACGUAGGUGGCAAGCGUUGUCCGGAAUUAUUGGGCGUAAAGGGCUCGCAGGCGGUUUCUUAAGUCUGAUGUGAAAGCCCCCGGCUCAACCGGGGAGGGUCAUUGGAAACUGGGAAACUUGAGUGCAGAAGAGGAGAGUGGAAUUCCACGUGUAGCGGUGAAAUGCGUAGAGAUGUGGAGGAACACCAGUGGCGAAGGCGACUCUCUGGUCUGUAACUGACGCUGAGGAGCGAAAGCGUGGGGAGCGAACAGGAUUAGAUACCCUGGUAGUCCACGCCGUAAACGAUGAGUGCUAAGUGUUAGGGGGUUUCCGCCCCUUAGUGCUGCAGCUAACGCAUUAAGCACUCCGCCUGGGGAGUACGGUCGCAAGACUGAAACUCAAAGGAAUUGACGGGGGCCCGCACAAGCGGUGGAGCAUGUGGUUUAAUUCGAAGCAACGCGAAGAACCUUACCAGGUCUUGACAUCCUCUGACAACCCUAGAGAUAGGGCUUUCCCUUCGGGGACAGAGUGACAGGUGGUGCAUGGUUGUCGUCAGCUCGUGUCGUGAGAUGUUGGGUUAAGUCCCGCAACGAGCGCAACCCUUGAUCUUAGUUGCCAGCAUUUAGUUGGGCACUCUAAGGUGACUGCCGGUGACAAACCGGAGGAAGGUGGGGAUGACGUCAAAUCAUCAUGCCCCUUAUGACCUGGGCUACACACGUGCUACAAUGGACAGAACAAAGGGCUGCGAGACCGCAAGGUUUAGCCAAUCCCAUAAAUCUGUUCUCAGUUCGGAUCGCAGUCUGCAACUCGACUGCGUGAAGCUGGAAUCGCUAGUAAUCGCGGAUCAGCAUGCCGCGGUGAAUACGUUCCCGGGCCUUGUACACACCGCCCGUCACACCACGAGAGUUUGCAACACCCGAAGUCGGUGAGGUA
rnacentral:rRNA from 1 species